rnacentral:lncRNA from 1 species
AACUUUAUAAUAUAUGAAAAUAAAAUAAAAAAAAUUGAGAAAGAAGAAAAAGAAAAACGUGAGUUAUUAUAUAAUAAAUAUAAAAUAUUAUAUGAAAAUAAUAAAUUAGUAAAAUGUAUUAAUAUAAUAAAAGAAAAUAAAUAUAUGUCCGAAUUAUAUAAUGACAUAUCAAAAGCGAUAAAUAACUUGAACCAAUUAAAAGUUAGAAAAGCAUACCAUUGUAUUAAUAAUAUUUUUAUUAAUAAAAUUACUUGUUCUAAUAAUGAAAAUAUAAAAAAAAAAUUUAUCGAAAAUAUAUUUGUAAGUGAAAUAUUAUACCGUUAUAAAAUUAUUAAAAAAAUGGAACUAUUAUUUAAUUUAGAAGUUCAAAAAGACAUAUGCUCUAAUGUUAUUAAUUAUUCUGUUAUAUUAAAAAAGGUAUAUUCAAAUUUUGUUUUCGAUUACUUGAUUGACGUUGUUGAUGCAAAUGGAAAGGUUUGCCUCAUAAAACUAAUCGAAUAUUUAAAAUAUAAAGAUCAGAAUAAUAAUAAUGACAAUAACAAUUAUCAGUUAUUUAGCAAUACAAGUAUAAGUCAUAUUAGUUAUCUGUAUAGUCAAAAAAUGACAGACCAUAGCUUAAGUGGCGAUCAACAUUUAUCUGUAAGUGACGAUGAAUUAGGCGAAGAUAAAGUUCAAACGAUAAUAUACGAUAACAAAAAAAAAAAAAAAAAAAAAAAAAAUUUAUUGAAACAUAAAAAAAAUGAAACAUAUACUACUACUGACACUGUUAAUAAAAAAAAAAAACAUCAUGAACCACAUAACUAUACAACAAAAAAACAAAUAGAAAAUAAAUACAUAGAUUUUAAACAUUUUUAUUUAGCCUAUAGUGAUGAAACUAGUGAAGUAUAUUUUUUUAUAACAAAAAAACAGUUCAGCCUAUUUAAUAAAUUAUAUAACUUCAAAAAUAAAACAAGUGAACAUAAAUUAUAUGACAGUGUUACAGUUAAUACAAAUAAUAAUAAAAGUGGAUUAGAAGAAAAAAGAGAAGACCUUAACGAAAUUGAUAAUAAAAAAAAAAUUGACGAACAUAAAGUUCCAAAAAAAAAAAAAAAAAAAAUACUUAAAUGUACAAAAGAAAAUUUAGAAAAGCACAAUAAAAAAAAUGAUAUGGUCGAUAUCAAUGAAACAAAUACGAACUUAAGUACAUUAAUAUAUUUCUAUGUUAAUUCAAUAGUACCUUCAAAUUUUAUAUAUGUAAUAGCAGCUAUAACAGAGGCAAAUCUGUUCAAAACAUGGAUACCGUAUUAUUCCUUUCCUUUGAAGUUUGGAAUUAGUGAGUGUAAGUUAAUAAAACAAAGAGGAAUGGUAGAUAAAAUAUUUUACACGAGAAUAGCUAUGCCUUGGAUUAUACAUGAUAGGUUACAAUAUACAUGUAUACUCACUCGUUUGCUUAAAUAAAAUAUAUUUAAAUAUCCGUAUA